rnacentral:tRNA from 2 species
UCCGGGGUAGCUCAAUUGGUAGACGCGCUCGGCUGUUAACCGAGAGGUUGUGGGUUCGAGUCCCACCCCCGGAG